GGCUCACCAAGGCGACGAUGCGUAGCCGACCUGAGAGGGUGAUCGGCCACAUUGGGACUGAGACACGGCCCAGACUCCUACGGGAGGCAGCAUG
rnacentral:rRNA from 1 species